rnacentral:rRNA from 1 species
AUUGAACGCUGGCGGCAGGCAUAACACAUGCAAGUCGAACGAGUGGCGGACGGGUGAGUAAUGUCUGGGAAACUGCCUGAUGGAGGGGGAUAACUACUGGAAACGGUAGCUAAUACCGCAUACCAUCGGAUGUUCCCAGAUGGGAUUAGCGAGUAGGUUGGGUAAAGGCUCACCUAGGCGACGAUCCCUCUCUGAUCUGAGAGGAUGACCAGCCACACUGGAACUGCGACACGGUCCAGACUCCUACGGGAGGCAGCAGUGGGGAAUAUUGCACAAGGGGCGCAAGCCUGAUUCAGCCAUGCCGCGUGUAUGAAGAAGGCCUUCGGGUUGUAAAGUACUUUCAGCGGGGAGGCGUUAAACGCAGAAGAAGCACCGGCUAACUCCGUGCCAGCAGCCGCGGUAAUUC